GGAAGCAUCGUGACCACACCUGUCGUAAUUUCACCAACACACGCGAAAAGGUAACACCUAUCAUAGAUAAAUCCCGGAGGGAGACCGUCGACGGACAGUGUCCAAAAGCAACCAACUGGUUUUUGCAUGAUGAUGUUUCGCCCGACACUGGUCCUGCUGCUGGUGAUGUUGAUGCUCAUCCCGGAGGAAGGCGAAGGAUGGUUUUUUCGUCGGCGUCGUAGGCGACGGCGCUACCGAGUGAGAACAACCACCAUAAACAGAAACCACUGCCAUUGCAACAUGGUUCAGAAGGACCUCGUCAAAUUGCUGAGGGAUUUCUUGAGAUCCAGAAAAUUUGGCAAACGAGAUGUUUCUACCUUGCUUGACGUUGAUGAGGAUGAUCCACUCCUGGAGAAAUUCAUGCAAAACUCAAUGAACAAACGUGAUGGUCUCGUUGGCACGGAGCAGUUGUUGGCGGCUGCACAGCGUGCAGCACAAGCGCCCCAGAAGAGAAACCGCAACCACUGCAUGUGUGGCAGGAUGGUGUUGGAGGAAGCUACUCGCAGCAACUGAAGACGGAGGAAUGGCGGACAGUGACGCUACCCAACUAGACUGACAAAUAAAUUUAGCAAGACUGAAA